CCCCGCGUAGCUCAACGGUAGAGCGCAUGGCUGUAGACCAUGAGGUUGCUGGUUCAAAUCCGGCCGCGGGGA
rnacentral:tRNA from 1 species